rnacentral:guide_RNA from 1 species
AAUAAUGACAUAACUGAAUUGGUAAAGCGACGAGAGAGACAGUAUAAUU